UUGUAUAUUUGAUCGAUUCAUGAAGGUUGGUGAAAGGAGUCGACAGCAUCCUUAGGCCAAACUUACUAUUUUGGGGAAAAUUUUAUGCAAAUGUAUUGACUAUGAGUGGCAACGCUUAGAAAACUGUAUAUUUGACCGAUUCAUGAAGGAUGGUGAAAGGAGUCGACAGCAUUCUUAGGCGAAACUUACUACUUUGGGGAAAACUUUAUGCAAAUGUAUUGACUAUGAGUGGCAACGCUUAGAAAACUGUAUAUUUGACCGAUUCAUGAAGGUUGGUGAAAGGAGUCGACAGCAUUCUUAGGCGAAACUUACUACUUUGGGGAAAACUUUAUGCAAAUGUAUUGACUAUGAGUGGCAACGCUUAGAAAACUGUAUAUUUGACCGAUUCAUGAAGGAUGGUGAAAGGAGUCGACAGCAUUCUUAGGCGAAACUUACUACUUUGGGGAAAACUUUAUGCAAAUGUAUUGACUAUGAGUGGCAACGCUUAGAAAACUGUAUAUUUGACCGAUUCAUGAAGGAUGGUGAAAGGAGUCGACAGCAUUCUUAGGCGAAACUUACUACUUUGGGGAAAACUUUAUGCAAAUGUAUUGACUAUGAGUGGCAACGCUUAGAAAACUGUAUAUUUGACCGAUUCAUGAAGGUUGGUGAAAGGAGUCGACAGCAUUCUUAGGCGAAACUUACUACUUUGGGGUAAAAUUUAUGCAAAUGUAUUGACUAUGAGUGGCAACGCUUAGAAAAUUGUAUAUUUGAUCGAUUCAUGAAGGUUGGUGAAAGGAGUCGACAGCAUCCUUAGGCCAAACUUACUACUUUGGGGAAAAA